rnacentral:rRNA from 1 species
GUUUGGUGGCGAUAGCGAAGAGGUCACACCCGUUCCCAUGCCGAACACGGAAGUUAAGCUCUUCAGCGCCGAUGGUAGUCGGGGGUUUCCCCCUGUGAGAGUAGGACGCCGCCAAGCU